CUCUUCAAAAAAAAAAAAAACUGAAGAGCAGGGAAUACUUUUAAACUGAUUUUACAAGGCCAGCGUUAACCUAUUACUAAAACCAGACAAAGAUAUAACAAUAACAACAAUCUUCAACAAAAUACUAGCAAACAGAAUGCAAUAACACAUUAAAAAGAUCCAUCACAUUCUUCUCGUCUCCCGAGUGCAAGUCUGCAGCAGGCUCCCUGGUUGUCCGAAUCACUGACCUCUCUUCCCAGCUAUAUUUCCAAAAUGUCACUUUCUAACAAGCUGACGCUGGACAAGCUGGAUGUUAAAGGGAAGCUGGUCGUUAUGAGAGUCGACUUCAAUGUUCCUAUGAAGAACAACCAGUUAACAAAUAACCAGAGGAUUAAGGCUGCUGUCCCAAGCAUCAAAUUCUGCUUGGACAAUGGAGCCAAGUCAGUAGUCCUUAUGAGCCACCUAGGCCAGCCUGAUGGUGUCCCUAUGCCUGACAAGUACUCCUUAGAGCCAGUUGCUGUAGAACUCAAGUCUCUGCUGGGCAAGGAUGUUCUGUUCUUGAAGGACUGUGUAGGCCCAGAAGUGGAGAAAGCCUGUGCCAACCCAGCUGCUGGGUCUGUCAUCCUGCUGGAGAACCUCCACUUUCAUGUGGAGGAAGAAAGGAAGGGAAAAGAUGCUUCUGGGAACAAGGUUAAAGCCGAGCCAGCCAAAAUAGAAGCUUUCCGAGCUUCACUUUCCAAGCUAGGGGAUGUCUACGUCAAUGAUGCUUUUGGCACUGCUCACAGAGCCCACAGCUCCAUGGUAGCAGUCAAUCUGCCACAGAAGGCUGGAGGAUUUUUGAUGAAGGAGCCGAACUACUUUGCCAAGGCCUUGGAGAGCCCAGAGCGACCUUUCCUGGCCAUCCUGGGUGAAGCUAAAGUUGCAGACAAGAUCCAGUUGAUCAAUAAUAUGCUGGACAAAGUCAACAAGAUUAUUUUUGGUGGCGGAAUGGCUUUUACCUUCCUUAAGGUGCUCAACAACAUGGAGAUUGGCACUUCUCUGUUUGAUGAAGAGGGAGCCAAGAUUGUCAAGGACCUAAUGUCCAAAGCUGAGAAGAAUGGUGUGAAGAUUACCUUGCCUGUUGACUUUGUCACUGCUGACAAGUUUGAUGAGAAUGCCAAGACUGGCCAAGCCACUGUGGCUUCUGGCAUACCUGCUGGCUGGAUGGGCUUGGACUGUGGUCCUGAAAGCAGCAAGAAGUAUGCUGAGGCUGUCACUUGGGCUAAGCAGAUUGUGUGGAAUGGUCCUGUGGGGGUAUUUGAAUGGGAAGCUUUUGCCCGGGGAACCAAAGCCCUCAUGGAUGAGGUGGUGAAAGCCACUUCUAGGGGCUGCAUCACCAUCAUAGGUGGUGGAGACACUGCCACUUGCUGUGCCAAAUGGAACACGGAGGAUAAAGUCAGCCAUGUGAGCACUGGGGGUGGUGCCAGUUUGGAGCUCCUGGAAGGUAAAGUCCUUCCUGGGGUGGAUGCUCUCAGCAAUAUUUAGUACUUUCCUGCCUUUUAGUUCCUGUGCACAGCCCCUAAGUCAACUUAGCAUUUUCUGCAACUUCACUUGGCAUUAGCUAAAACCUUCCAUGUCAAGGUUCAGCUAGUGGCCAAGAGAUGCAGUGCCAGGAACCCUUAAACAGUUGCACAGCAUCUCAGCUCAUCUUUACUGCACCCUGGAUUUGCCUACAUUCUUCAAGAUCCCAUUUGAAUUUCUCAGUGACUAAACAUUGUGCAUUCUAGAGUGCAUAUAUUUAUAUUUUGCCUGUUAAAACAAGUGAGCUGUGUUAGCUUAGUUCUUUUUUGAUGUAGGCUAUUAUGAUUAGCUUUGUCACUGUUUCACUACUCAGCAUGGAAACAAGAUGAAAUUCCAUUUGUAGGUAGGGAGACAAAAUUAAUAAUACAUUAAAUAAACAAUAAAAGUGUCCACUGGAA